GAUAACUUGUUGAAUUCAUUUCAUAAACUAAAUAUGGCACAAAGCCAAUACAUAAAACAAGUUUACAAUCUUGAAAAAACAGUAGGUUGACCUAAACUUCACCUACUACCACUAAUACACAUAGUAACUUGUGCUAAUUAGCUUGAACAAACAAACAAAGCUGAUUUAUCAGCUCAGUCAACAUCAAAAUUACAUCAAACAUAAACCUAACAUAGUUAUAAAGAAACUAAGUUACAUUACUCUAACUUAAAAUUACAAAAUGAAACAUAAACAGCUUGCUGACUAGGUGAACCAGCAGCUUCUGCAUGUAGUGCCUUUGACAGUCUUGGUUGCUGCAUGCUGACCAUUACUUCAACACUCCUCCUUGGUUAGCAUGUUGCAAACUCCCAUAUUAGCUCUCAGGUGUUGAAACUUGGAAACACUUAGUGCUUUUGUCAAAAUAUCAGCAAUUUGCUCUUCAGAACUGCAAUGUAUCAGCUUAACAACAUGUGCUUGUUCCAUUUCCCGAACUGCAUGAAGUUUGAUGUUGAAGUGCUUGGUCUUUCCAUGAAAAAUAGGAUUCUUUGCAAUAGCAACUGCUGAUUGGUUGUCACACAUUAUUUCAGUUGCUUCCUUUUGCUCAUGAUUGAUAUCUUUCAAAAUUUUCUAAGCCAUAUGGCUUGAUUGACUGCUGCAGCAGCAGCCACAUAUUCUGUUUCUGCAGUCGACUGAGCCACUACUCCCUGCUUCUUUGAGCUCCAGCAAAUCAUAGCAGAGCCUAUGUUGAAUGCAUAACCUGUAGUGCUCUUCAUGUCAUCCAAGGAACCAGCCCAAUCACUAUCACAAUAUCCAACUAGCUUCAAGUUCUCAGCCUUGGUAAACUGCAUUCCAUAGGACAAAGUUCCUUUGAUGUAUCUUAGAACCCUUUUUGCAGCUCUAAAAUGACUUUCAUUUGAACAAUGCAUAAACCUCGAGAGUAGACUCACAGCAUACAUUAUGUCAGGUCUAGUAGCAGUUAAAUACAACAAACAUCCAACUAGACUUCGAUAGGUUGUUUCACAAACCUUUUCAUGCUUGUCUUGGCUUGAGAGUUUUUCUCCAACAGCAACUGGUGUGCUGGUUGCUUUGCAAUUCUCCAUUGAGAAUUUGUAGAGAACCUUCAUAGCAAAGGUCUUUUGACUUAGCCAAAUCCCAUUCUUAGCUUGAGUUACUUCCAUGCCUAAGAAGUAAGACAUCAAUCCCAAGUCUGACAUUUCAAAAUGCUGUUGCAUUUUGACUUUAAAGCUGCUUAGCAUCUCAUGAUCUCCUCCUGUCACCAGUAGGUCAUCGACAUAUAUUGAAACAAUGAGCUGAGUUUCAGCAUUAGUUGAUUUAACAUACAGAGUUGGCUCGCUGAGACUUCUUUCAAAUCCUUGACUGGUCAGAUAGCCAUCUAUUCUGCUAUACCAGGCCCUUGGAGCCUGUUUCAAGCCAUACAAGGCUUUGUUGAGCUUGUACACCAUUUCUUCUUUGCCAGACACCUUGAAACCUUGAGGUUGCUCCACAUAAAUCUCCUCUUCAAGGAAUCCAUUCAGAAAUGCUGAUUUUACAUCAAGUUGGUGUAUCAGCCACUGUUUUUGUGCUGCUAAGGCAACUAGCAGUCUAAUAGUGUCUAGCCUGGCCACUGGUGCAAAGGUUUCCAGGUAGUCUGAUCCAUACCUUUGACUGAAGCCUUUCACAACCAAUCUAGCCUUUAACUUGUUUAGGCUACCAUCAGCAUUGUUUUUUACUCGAUAAACCCAUUUAACACCAAUAAUCUUCCUGUUUGUUGGUUUAUCAACCAGACUCCAGGUCCGAUUCUUUUCAAUCAUUCUAAUUUCUUCAAUCAUUGCUUGCUUCCAGUCCUCCUGGCUUUCUGCUUCUUCAAAGCAACUUGGUUCAACAGUAGCCACUUGUGCCCUUUCAUAAACAUCAGCCAGUGAUCGAGUGCCUCUGAUUGGAACAUCAUCUACAUCCAUUUCAGAUGUGUUUUCAUCAUUUUCAACUUGGUCCACUGCGAGAUCUUCAGCCACUGCCUCUGGUUCAGCCUUCUCCCAAUUCCAGUGUCCUUUUUCAUUGAAAAUAACAUCCCUGCUAACCAAUAUCUUGUUUGUAGCAGGUUCUAGGAUUCUGUAGCCCUUCUUAACCAAGCUAUAGCCGAUCAGGAUCCCUGCUUGAGCUCUUUUAUCUAGCUUGCUUCUCUUCUCAGCUGGAACUUGUGUGUAGCACAGACAACCAAAGGUUCUGAGAUGAGCCAGUGAUGGCUUAAACCCAAACCAGGCUUCAAAUGGAGUUUUCUCAGCCAGAGCCUUGGUUGGGAGCCUGUUUUGGAGAUAAACUGCUGUGUUAACAGCUUCAGCCCACAGACUUUUGGGCAAAUUCUUCUCAAACAGAAGACAUCUUGCCAUGUUCAUCAAGCUUCUAUUUUUCCUUUCACUGACCUCAUUCUGUUGGGGUGUAUACACAUUAGUCAACUGGUGUUUGAUACCUGCUUCUUCACAGUAGGCUUAGAACUGAGCUGAGGUGUACUCAGUUCCAUUAUCUGACCUCAUUGCUCUAAGUUUGCAACCAGACUCAGUUUCAACAGCAGCUUUAUACUUCAGGAACACAUAUGGAACUUCUGAUUUCUGUUUUAGAAAAUAAAUCCAGCAGUAUCUUGUUAAGUCAUCAAUAAAUAGAAUAAAGUACCUGCUUCCUUUGAGAGACUCAGUCUUCAUUGGUCCACACACAUCUGUAUGCACAAGCUGGAGUUUCUCUGAUGCUCUCUAUGUUGUGCUUGUUGGAAAUGGCAAUCUUGCCAAUUUUUCUUGCUGACAUAUCUCACAAAGCUCAUCAUUCUUCACUGAAUCGAUGAAAUUUUCUGCCAGACCUUCAUUGACCAUGCGGGCUAUGGAUUUGUAGUUUGCAUGUCUAAGCCUCUGAUGCCAGAGUCUCGAGUCAUCAGUGGAGGCUAUGCAGGCUGAAUGUGAGUCAUUUGGCCAGUCUACUUCAAAACAUUUAUCAGUCAUGGUGACUGUUAUAAGGUUUGAUCCACUUGGAUCAAAAAUUUGACAUUCUUUCUCCUUGAAAACAACAGAGUAACCUUUCUCAAGUAGUUGAGUUAUACUGAGAAGGUUCCUAUCGAUUUCAGGUACCAAAAGUACAUUUGAAAUGAUUUUGCCACCUGUAGAAGUAUGAAUCAGCACAUCUCCUCCUCCUUCAGCAUUGAUUAACUGACCAUUUCCAAUUUUUACUUUGGUUUUGCAGGUUCUGUCCAGGGUUUUGAAGAUAGUUGCAUCUGGUGACAUGUGGUUUGUGCACCCACUGUCUAGAAGCCAGCCCUUUGAACCCUUCUUCUGAUUUGCUGCACAUGACACAGCAAAAACAUGUUCUUCUUGAUCACUGCUUUCUUCAGCUACUCGAGCUUCAACCUUUGACUGUUGAAAUUGAUUCUGCCUUGGCUUACUCCUGUUUUUACAGACCCUUUCAACAUGGCCCUUCUUCUUGCAGUGUUGGCAUACUGCAUCUGGCCUAAACCAGCAUCUGUCUUCUGGAUGGCCUAGCUUCUUGUAAUAUCUGCAGGGCUGGUCAUUGCUCCUUGCAGCAUCAGGCUUAGGCCUGUUUUUCCAGAACUUUUUGCCUUUAUGAGUUUUGAUACUCGAGGCUUCUUUGGCUUGAAAAGCCCCUUCCUGGUGCUCCUCUUGUCUGCUGGCUCUUCUUUGCUCUUGUGCAUACAAGGAAUUGAUUAGCUCAGUUAAGGAGAUAGUUGUCAAGUCCCUUGAGUCUUCAAGGGAUGAAAUUUUAGCUUCAUACCUCUCUGGUAGAGUGGACAUGACUUUCUCAACCAUUCUAGCUUCACUGAAUUGCUCUCCUAGGAGCCUUAUGCUGUUUACAACAGCCAUAAUCCGAUCUGAGUACUGCUUAACUGUUUCUUCCUCUUUCAUUUUGAGAUUUUCGAAAUCUCUUCUCAAGUUGAGCAGCUGUUGUUGCCUUGUUUUCUCAGUCCCCUGAAAUUCUUCUUUCAGCUUGUCCCAAGCCUCCUUUGGUGUUUCACAGGCCAUGAUCCUCAUAAAGAUCACAUCUGUCACACAAUUCUGUAUGCAUGACAUGGCCUUGUGCCUUUUUGUUCUUUCAUCAGUGUGUUUCCUUAUUUGAGCAACUGUUGGAUUAGCUCGAAGAGGUGCUGGCUCAGCAUCUGAGUUAACAACUUCCCAUAGGUCGAAUGCCUGCAGGUAAGUCCUCAUCUUAACUGCCCAAAUGUUGAAGCCCUCUCCAUUGAAGACAGGUAGUGAAGCUGGUGAAAAACCUGAUGAUGCCAUCGUUUUGAUACUGAACUACAACAGGUCCUCUAAGAAUGUGGCUCUAGAUACCAAUUGUUGGAUCAAGAGGCAGCAGCAGCAAGCUUCAACAGGAUACUUGUCGAGCAAGUCUCGUGACUUGUAGGAGAAACAAAGCAAAAAACUCAAAUGGAUUUUUAAGCAAAACUAAAAAUGGAGAGGAUAUAGAUGAUAACUUGUUGAAUUCAUUUCAUAAACUUAAUAUGGCACAAAACCAAUACAUAAAACAAGUUUACAAUCUUGACAAAGCAGUAGGUUGACCUAAACUUCACCUACUACCACUAAUACACAUAGUAACUUGUGCUAAUUAGCUUGAACAAACAAACAAAGCUGAUUUAUCAGCUCAGUCAACAUCAAAAUUACAUCAAACAUAAACCUAACAUAGUUAUAAAGCAACUAAGUUACAUUACUCUAACUUAAAAUUACAAAAUGAAACAUAAACAGCUUGCUGACUAGGUGAACCAGCAGCUUCUGCAUGUAGUGCCUUUGACAGUCUUGGUUGCUGCAUGCUGACCAUUACUUCAACA
rnacentral:lncRNA from 1 species